AUUCUAACUGGGAGCACUUAUU
rnacentral:miRNA from 12 species